GACGAACGCUGGCGGCGUGCUUAAUACAUGCCAGUCGAACGGAAAGGCCCUGCUUUUGUGGGGUGCUCGUGUGGCGAACGGGUGAGUAUCACGUGAGUAACCUGCCCCUGACUUUGGGAUAACUUCAGGAAACUCGGGCUAAUACAGGAUAUGAGCUCCUGCUGCACGGUGUUGGUUGGAAAGUUUUGGCGGUUGGGGACGGACACGCGGUUUAUCAGCUUGUUGGUUAGGUAGUGGCUUACCAAGGCUCUGACGGGUAGCCGGCUUGAGAGGGUGACCGGCCACAUUGUGACUGGGAUAGCGCCCAGACUGCUACGGGAGGAAGGAGUGGGAGACAGUGCACGAUGGGCGGAAGCCGGAUGGAGCAACGCCGCGUGCGGGAUGACGGUCUGCAGGGUGGAAACCGCGUUCGCCUGGAACGAAGCGUGAGUGACGGUAACGGGUAAAGAAGCACCGGCUAACUACGUG
rnacentral:rRNA from 1 species